rnacentral:rRNA from 1 species
CAAUAGCGUAUAUUAAAGUUGUUGCAGUUAAAAAGCUCGUAGUUGGAUUUGUGGUUCUGCCCGCCGGCUGGGCCUUUUUGGCCUUUGCUCGUUGCGGGUGGUCCAUCCUUGGGUGGAAUCUGUGUGGCAUUAGGUUGUCGCGCAGGGGAUGCCCAUCGUUUACUGUGAAAAAAUUAGAGUGUUCAAAGCAGGCUUAUGCCGUUGAAUAUAUUAGCAUGGAAUAAUGAUAUAGGACCUUGGUACUAUUUUGUUGGUUUGCGCACUGAGGUAAUGAUUAAUAGGGACAGUUGGGGGUAUUCGUAUUCCAUUGUAAGAGGUGAAAUUCUUGGAUUUUUGGAAGACGAACUACUGCGAAAGCAUUUGCCAAGGAUGUUUUCAUUAA